rnacentral:rRNA from 1 species
GACGAACGCUGGCGGCGUGCUUAACACAUGCAAGUCGAACGGAAAGGCCCUGCUUUUGUGGGGUGCUCGAGUGGCGAACGGGUGAGUAACACGUGAGUAACCUGCCCUUGACUUUGGGAUAACUUCAGGAAACUGGGGCUAAUACCGGAUAGGAGCUCCUGCUGCAUGGUGGGGGUUGGAAAGUUUCGGCGGUUGGGGAUGGACUCGCGGCUUAUCAGCUUGUUGGUGGGGUAGUGGCUUACCAAGGCUUUGACGGGUAGCCGGCCUGAGAGGGUGACCGGCCACAAUGGGACUGGGGUACGGCCCAGACUCCUACGGGAGGCAGCAGUGGAGAGUAUUGCACAAUGAGCGGAAGCCUGAUGCAGCAACGCCGCGUGCGGGAUGACGGCCUUCGGGUUGUAAACCGCUUUCGCCGGUGACGAAGCGUGAGUGACGGUAAUGGGUAAAGAAGCACCGGCUAACUACGUG